UAGGACGCGCCCGAUUAUGGUUGUUGGUGGGGUAACGGCCCACCAAGCCUAUUAUCGGUAGGGGCCGUGAGAGCGGGAGCCCCGAGAUGGGCACUGAGACAAUGGCCCAGGCCUUACGAGGCGCAGCAGGCGCGAAACCUUCACAAUGCGCGAAAGCGUGAUGAGGUUACCCGGAGUGCCCCUCUGGGGCUGUGGCGGGUGAGUAAGAUUCCCCGCUAGAAAGGAGAGGGCAAGGCUGGUGCCAGCCGCCGCGGUAAAACCAGCUCUUCAAGUGGUCGGGACUAUUAUUGGGCUUAAAGCGUCCGUAGCCGGUUUGGUAAGUUCCUGGUUAAAUCGGGCGGCUUAACCGUCCGGUUGCUAGGAAUACUGCCAAACUAGGGGGCGGGAGAGGUCCGAGGUACUCCGGGGGUAGCGGUGAAAUGCGAUAAUCCUCGGGGGACCACCAGUGGCGAAGGCGUCGGACUGGAACGCGCCCGACGGUGAGGGACGAAAGCCAGGGGAGCGAACCGGAUUAGAUACCCGGGUAGUCCUGGCCCUAAACGAUGCGUGCUAGGUGUUGGUAUGGCCCUGAGCCGUACCAGUGCCGUAGGGAAACCGUUAAGCGCGCCGCCUGGGGAGUACGGCCGCAAGGCUGAAACUUAAAGGAAUUGACGG
rnacentral:rRNA from 1 species